rnacentral:rRNA from 1 species
UCGGGAAACUUCUGCAAUGCGCGCAAGCGUGACAGAGCAAGCCAGAGUGCUUUCCUAUAAUUGGAAAGCUUUUGUGAGAUGCAAAAAGUCUCACGAAUAAGGACUGGGCAAGACUGGUGCCAGCCGCCGCGGUAAUCCCAGCGGUCCGAGUAGCAGCCACUUUUAUUGGGUCUAAAACAUCCGUAGCUUGCAUUGUAAGUCUCUUGUGAAAUCUGGCCUCUUAAGGGUCGGGCGGGCAAGAGAUACUGCUUUGCUAGAGACUGGGAGACGUAAGAAGUACGCACAGGGUACCGGUAAAAUGGGUUGAUCCUGUGUGGACUAACGACAGCGAAGGCAUCUUACGAGAACGGAUCUGACAGUGAGGGAUGAAGGCUAGGGGCGCAAAUUGGAUUAGAUACCCCCGUAGUCCCUGAGCGGGCUGGCAAGGCGCAU